GUGGCGAUUAGCCAGUUUGAGAGAUGGUCAGUUCAUUCAUGGCACAAUGCAGGUCCCUCGGAGACACCGCUGUGAAGGGAGACAAAGAGUUGGGGCGGCCCCACCCUCACCCAUUCUCCUCUCCUGCAACACCCCUUGUUCACAAAGCCCCUUUCAACUGCUUCUUUAUUCUGGGUGUUUACUUUUACCCAUUCAGAUCUCUUUUGCUAUCUCAUGCACAGCAUACCCCAAUGCUCCAGCAAGCUGGACCCUGGACACAACUGAGCCACAAGCAGAGCAUUGAAGAAAACACACCCCAGGCCAAGGAUUCAAUAAUUUGGUACAAACGCUUAGGCUGAUAAACUGGAGAAGGUGACUAUGGCAGCACAGAUCCAGGGCACCAGAAGGCAGACUGCACAGAGACCUGUGAGGGCUCUUUAUGGAUCCUGAUGGAACCAUAAGGGACACUGUAAUAGCUCUCAUUUUAUGUAUUAAGCCGUAUUUGCACAACAAUUCCAUUAUAAUACAAAGAUAAUCUUUAGAAGUAAUUUUAAAACAGCAAAUGUAUAAAUGCUGAGUCUCAAGUAAAAGAAAACAAUUUUCCUAAGCCAAAUGUCUUUCGUAAGAGAUUUCAA
rnacentral:lncRNA from 1 species